rnacentral:rRNA from 1 species
CAGUAGCCGCGGGAAUACGUAGGUGGCAAGCGUUGUCCGGAAUUAUUGGGCGUAAAGGGCUCGCAGGCGGUUUCUUAAGUCUGAUGUGAAAGCCCCCGGCUCAACCGGGGAGGGUCAUUGGAAACUGGGAAACUUGAGUGCAGAAGAGGAGAGUGGAAUUCCACGUGUAGCGGUGAAAUGCGCAGAGAUGUGGAGGAACACCAGUGGCGAAGGCGACUCUCUGAUCUGUAACUGACGCUGAGGAGCGAAAGCGUGGGGAGCGAACAGGAUUAGAUACCCCUGUAGUCCCUGUCUCUUAUAA